CAUGGAAUCACGCUUAGUUUUCAGAUACAGAAUCUGGAAAGCGGGGGAACCAGUAUUAAUGGGGCGAAUCACUUGAAUUCGAGUGUAGGGUACCAUCUUACCCGAGUCCGUCAGCUAACCUCGUCAGCAGUGGAUGGGUCUU
rnacentral:sRNA from 2 species